CCGAGGUCCAAGACGUGCCCCAUGUGUGAACUGCGCCAUCAAAGCCAAGCAUGGGCGAGAAGUAUCCUUGGGACAGUAUCUAAUUCGCUUUCGGGAAAACUUAUGAGAACUGCAGUGUUUUACCAUUCCCGGCAGUACUGACUCUCCGUUGGGUUGGGGGCAUUAUAGUUAGCGAUCACAACCCUCGACUAGUUUGUUGCUUUGUAAAUCUUCCUCUCCUUAAUCCACAUUCCGAAGCUUAUUGACUAUGGGCUCUCUUGAAAUGGUUUCGUGGUGGUAGUACUUCUGCAUGAUCUUAAACAUAUCUUAGUAGUCGAAUUCAUUGUUAAUUAGUAUAUUGAGCUUAUUCACUUGUGAUUGUCUAGCGUUAAGCAUUCUAUGAAUUCAAUUGGUAUGUUGUCAAGGUUGGAAACAUGUGCAAUCUCGUUGAGUCGCAUGUAUAACAUAACCAUUAAAGUUUUACAAGCAUUAGUUAAAAUGUCAGAAAUCUCUGCAACCUUGACAACUUCUAUGCCUAGCAUAGCAAGUAAACUGCAUGUAGGUGUUUCUCAUGCCAUGAAUUGUGACUGGCCCCAACCCUCAGAGGCCGCUAGUAAGAUUUUGGUUGUGGUGAAUAAUGUUUGAUGUCUAGUAAGCAUUUUUUUUGUUGGCUCUGGUCUUGAUAAACAUGUUCUUGAUAAACCUGACCCUGGAAGGUAAUUUUGAUUUUGUUCAAGAAAUUGCAGAAACAAAAUUAUGAUAUGAACAUAAAAUAUCAGAUUACUCUAGAUUCCUCCCUUGCUUCAUUACUGAGAUCUUGUUGAUUCUUCUUAUUGACAUUUAUUAUAUCCAUCAGUUUCCAGGUUGUCUUUUCUUUUUUACCAAUGUAUUUGUUGGUAGUGCAUCAUUGUAUUGGCCUGCUGCAGGGCCCUUCAAGAUCGAUGGAAGACUUAUGCUGUUCCCCAUCGUCAUGAAGACUAAGAACCAAAGGGAAAUUCUUUGAACCAUAGGAGACUCUGUCUGCGAUGGGCUCUACCGGAAACUCCUGCCAUUGAUCGAAGCCAACGAAGCUGUUCCAGACGUGUUCAGCCCAACCUCGGUGCCAGGUUUUCUCUGUACCACAUGAACUUGUCUUCUAUAUGUGAGAAAUAAGAUAUCUCAAGGCCUCAACUUAAUGAUUAAUGAUGCAAGUGGACAUGUUCCUAUUAGCAUUUUCCUAUUCUUGCAACAUUUAGUUUGUCAUUUGUGUUGCGAUGAUAAAGAUAGAGGACAUGUUCUGUCUCUCUUAGUGGUAUAUUAUCUUUGAGAUUCCUUCA